GAUGAACGCUGGCGGCGUGCCUAAUACAUGCAAGUCGAACGCUGGAAAUCUAGCUUGCUAGAUUGAAGGAGUGGCGAACGGGUGAGUAAUACAUAAGCAACCUACCCACGAAGACUGGGAUAAUCUCUGGAAACGGGGACUAAUACCGGAUAGGUAAUCGGAAGGCAUCUUCUGAUUAUUAAAGGUUAAAAACACUGGUGGAUGGGCUUAUGGCGCAUUAGUUAGUUGGUGAGGUAACGGCCCACCAAGACGAUGAUGCGUAGCCGGCCUGAGAGGGUGAACGGCCACAUUGGGACUGAGACACGGCCCAGACUCCUACGGGAGGCAGCAGUAGGGAAUUUUCGGCAAUGGGGGAAACCCUGACAGAGCAACGCCGCGUGAGUGAUGACGGCCUUCGGGUUGUAAAGCUCUGUUGUAAGGGAAGAACGGUAGAUAGAGAAUAUCUAAAUGACGGUACCUUACCAGAAAGCCACGGCUAACUACGUG
rnacentral:rRNA from 1 species